CCUACGGGGUGCAGCAGUGGGGAAUAUUGCGCAAUGGGCGAAAGCCUGACGCAGCGACGCCGCGUGAGGGAUGAAGGUCUUCGGAUCGUAAACCUCUGUUAGCAGGGAAGAACGGUCACUGUGCUAAUCAGCAGUGAAUUGACGGUACCUGCAAAGGAAGCACCGGCUAAAUCCGUGCCAGCAGCCGCGGUAAUACGGAGGGUGCGAGCGUUAAUCGGAAUUACUGGGCGUAAAGCGGUCGUAGGCGGUAUGUCAAGUCAAGGGUGAAAGCCCCGCGCUCAACGUGGGGACUGCCUUUGAAACUGGCAAACUGGAGUGUGUGAGAGGAUAGUGGAAUUCGAGGUGUAGGAGUGAAAUCCGUAGAUAUCUGGAGGAACAUCAGUGGCGAAGGCGACUAUCUGGCACAUAACUGACGCUGAGGAGCGAAAGCGUGGGUAGCAAACAGGAUUAGAUAUCCGUGUAGUC
rnacentral:rRNA from 1 species